AUUGUAACGCUGGCGGCAGGCCUAACACAUGCAAGUCGAACGCGAAAGUCCUUCGGGAUGAGUAGAGUGGCGGACGGGUGAGUAACGCGUAGGAAUCUGUCCGGUAGUGGGGGAUAACGUUCCGAAAGGAACGCUAAUACCGCAUACGCCCUACGGGGGAAAGCGGGGGAUCUUCGGACCUCGCGCUAUCGGAGGAGCCUGCGUCGGAUUAGCUAGUUGGUAGGGUAAAGGCCUACCAAGGCGACGAUCCGUAGCUGGUCUGAGAGGAUGAUCAGCCACACCGGAACUGAGACACGGUCCGGACUCCUACGGGAGGCAGCAGUGGGGAAUAUUGCGCAAUGGGGGCAACCCUGACGCAGCCAUGCCGCGUGUGUGAAGAAGGCCUUCGGGUUGUAAAGCACUUUCAGAGGGGAGGAAAGGGCGCUGGCUAAUAUCCAGCGCAGUUGACGCUACCCUCAGAAGAAGCACCGGCUAAUUCCGUGC
rnacentral:rRNA from 1 species